rnacentral:rRNA from 1 species
AUUGAACGCUGGCGGCAGGCCUAACACAUGCAAGUCGAACGAGUGGCGGACGGGUGAGGAAUGUCUGGGAAACUGCCUGAUGGAGGGGGAUAAAUACGGGAAACGGUAGCUAAUUCCGCAUACCAUCAGAUGUGCCCAGAUGGGAUUAGCUAGUUGGUGGGGUAACGGCUCACCACGGCGACGAUCCCUAGCUGGUCUGAGAGUAUGACCAGCCACACUGGAACUGAGACACGGUCCAGACGCCUACGGGAGGCAGCAGGGGGGAAUAUGGCACAAUGGGCGCAAGCCUGAUGCAGCCAUGCCGCGUGUAUGAAGAAGGCCUUCGGGUUGUAAAGUACUUUCAGCGGGGAGGCGUUACCCGCAGAAGAAGCACCGGCUAACUCCGUGCCAGCCGCCGCGGUAAUUC